rnacentral:rRNA from 1 species
GACGAACGCCGGCGGCGUGCUUAACACAUGCAAGUCGAACGGAAAGGCCCUGCUUUUGUGGGGUGCUCGAGUGGCGAACGGGUGAGUAACACGUGAGUAACCUGCCCUUGACUUUGGGAUAACUUCAGGAAACUGGGGCUAAUACCGGAUAGGAGCUCCUGCUGCAUGGUGGGGGUUGGAAAGUUUCGGCGGUUGGGGAUGGACUCGCGGCUUAUCAGCUUGUUGGUGGGGUAGUGGCUUACCAAGGCCUUGACGGGUAGCCGGCCUGAGAGGGUGACCGGCCACAUUGGGACUGAGAUACGGCCCAGACUCCUACGGGAGGCAGCAGUGGGGAAUAUUGCACAAUGGGCGGAAGCCUGAUGCAGCAACGCCGCGUGCGGGAUGACGGCCUUCGGGUUGUAAACCGCUUUCGCCUGUGACGAAGCGUGAGUGACGGUAAUGGGUAAAGAAGCACCGGCUAACUACGUG